rnacentral:lncRNA from 1 species
ACUCUUUAGAAGCAAAAGUUUUGAUGAGAGGUAUUCUUGGAAAAUGUUACACAAGCUGGGUGUACAUUUCAAGUGCACAGUAGCCUCAGUGCCGCUACUACUCUUGAAGUUUUGCUUGUAGUAGAUUUGGCUAGAACUAUGCAUUUUUCCUAGUUAACUCCAAGUUCACUGAAAAUUUCAUGUAUCUUGUUAAAAAUGUAUUUUCUUUGCAAAUUAAUGUCUUCUCAGUUAUAAGUUUAAAUAUGACAAAGAAUAAGCAAAAUAAGUCAAUACAAUUUGUAAUUCACCUUCUAAUACCAUCAUGUUGGGGGUUGGAAUUUCAACAUAUGAAUUUGGGAGAAACACAGAUAUUCAGACCAUAGCAAAGUCGUAAUUCAUUAGUAUGUAAUUUUUUCAAACAGAAUUCACUUUAUCUCUACUUGUCAUCCAGUUAAAACAUUUUACUAUGUAAUAUUUCAGACAAGAAAAAAUAGCCAAAAUUAUAGCAAAUACUUAUGAACCUUAUCAUCUAGUGAAAUAAAUAAAAUGUGAUAAAAAAUUAAAGUAUCCUCUAAUUUUAUUUAGUGUGU